UACGAAGGGGACUAGCGUUGCUCGGAAUCACUGGGCGUAAAGCGCACGUAGGCGGCUUCUUAAGUCAGGGGUGAAAUCCUGGAGCUCAACUCCAGAACUGCCUUUGAUACUGAGGAGCUUGAGUCCGGGAGAGGUGAGUGGAACUGCGAGUGUAGAGGUGAAAUUCGUAGAUAUUAGGAAGAACACCGGUGGCGAAGGCGGCCCACUGGUCCGGUACUGACGCUGAGGUGCGAAAGCGUGGGGAGCAAACAGG
rnacentral:rRNA from 1 species